rnacentral:rRNA from 1 species
AGUGAACGCUGGCGGUAGGCCUAACACAUGCAAGUCGAACGGCAGCACAGUAAGAGCUUGCUCUUACGGGUGGCGAGUGGCGGACGGGUGAGGAAUACAUCGGAAUCUACUUUUUCGUGGGGGAUAACGUAGGGAAACUUACGCUAAUACCGCAUACGACCUACGGGUGAAAGCAGGGGAUCUUCGGACCUUGCGCGAUUGAAUGAGCCGAUGUCGGAUUAGCUAGUUGGCGGGGUAAAGGCCCACCAAGGCGACGAUCCGUAGCUGGUCUGAGAGGAUGAUCAGCCAAACUGGAACUGAAACACGGUCCAGCCCCUCAGGGGGGGCAGGGGGGGGGAAUAUUGGAAAAGGGGGGAAAGCCUGAUCCAGCCAUACCGGGUGGGGGAAGAAGGCCUUCGGGUGGUAAAGCCCUUUUUUGGGGAAAAAAAAGCAGCAGGUUAAUACCCCGCUGUUUUGACGGUACCCAAAGAAUAAGCAGCGGCUAACUUCGU